GGGUUGCGUGAUGAGUUUGCUGCGUUUUCUGUGCCCUUUGCCUCGUUGUGACAUCUUUGGUAUAUUUCAACCUGUUGCUCGCUCUUUAUGGGCUACUCGUUGCCUCGUAGAUCACCAUGAUCGCCUCCGACUCAGCCAAAUCGAAGAAUCAAAAUGAGCCUGGAGACACCACAGCCGGAAUGCGAAAGGUUGGAGAAGUGCUCAUUCACAUGAUUUUGGCACAGAUUGCGAUGGUGGACCAGGCAAGUUUGCAACGGCCUUGAUUCACCAUGUGUUCACAGAGAACCUCAUGGGCCACUCACUUCUCGAAAACACCACCACCAAUAGGCAAAAAGAGGCUCUUGGCCUUAUCAGGGUCAACGCUGUUAUAGGCAAGUACCGUACAUCCUUUUUCCCAUUGCAUUUUUGCAUUCACAUUUUGUACUUGGAAUUACCAGCUUGCUAUUAGCGCAACAAAUGAUUUUCAAGUAGCCUGUGUCUGCAACUACGUGCUACAAUAGCCUACUAUUUGGAAUGAAUGUUCAUUUGAUCUCAAGUCUCUAACGCCUCCCUACUAAAGUGCUAAAUUUUAAAAGCAGCCUUAACUGCCAGAAGUGAUUGGUGGCUACAACUGACAAAGUUAGGUGUAUUUGCACAUUAGUUGCUCUACUUGACUGUCCAUGCAAUGAACAGUUGCAAUGAAGCAACUACCAAUCUGAAGCAUGCUACCAAUCUGGUGGUAUAGUGGGUGUGCUUAAGUAGCCUGAAAGUGUUGUUAUAAUAUAGGAAUUGUGGAGAAGCUAUGCUCAAGUGCAGUUACUGCUCAACUCGAGGGACAGCACUUCCACCAAAUUUCAGCAAUCAAAAUGGCCCUCCAGAUUCUGUAACACAAAACAUAGUGGUUUCACCUAUUUCGACAGACCACAUUGAAUUAAAGUUGCUCCAGUCUCGAAGGAGGUCCAUGUGGUGGCAGACAGUAGCCUUUUAGCAGAGGGAGCUUAAGUUAUGGGGCAUAAUUGUUUGGUUGUUUCGAUCAAAGCAACAAUAAGAAGAGUUGCCAACUUCGUUGUCAACAUUGCUAUGUUUAGCAAUGUUCAUUCAUUCUAUGCACUCAACCUAUUAAGAUCCAAUUUAUCACAUUGUAUUCUAGGAUGUGGAAAAAACAAGGGUAUUUAUUUGACUUUUCCUCACGUUCCCAUAAAAUGAUCAGUACUCAAUAGGCCCUUGGCAGCUACUAUAUAAAGCUUCUUACAGAACAUGAGGCAUAUCCACAGCUCCCACUCUGAAAUU